rnacentral:rRNA from 1 species
CCUACGGGAGGCAGCAGUGGGGAAUAUUGCACAAUGGGCGAAAGCCUGAUGCAGCAACGCCGCGUGAAGGAAGACGGUUUUCGGAUUGUAAACUUCUGUUCUUAGUGAAGAAUAAUGACGGUAACUAAGGAGCAAGCCACGGCUAACUACGUGCCAGCAGCCGCGGUAAUACGUAGGUGGCAAGCGUUGUCCGGAAUUACUGGGUGUAAAGGGAGCGUAGGCGGGAAGCCAAGUCAGCUGUGAAAUCCCAUGGCUUAACCAUGGAACUGCUUUGGAAACUGUGCAGCUGGAGUGCAGGAGAGGUAAGCGGAAUUCCUAGUGUAGCGGUGAAAUGCGUAGAUAUUAGGAGGAACACCAGUGGCGAAGGCGGCUUACUGGACUGUAACUGACGUUGAGGCUCGAAAGCGUGGGGAGCAAACAGGAUUAGAUACCCGUGUAGUC